CCUAUUGCCGCUCCAUGAUCCACAGUUUUGUGAAGACACAAUUUGUGCUGGACUCUAUUCUUACCAACAGUUGCCUAUCUGAGUCCUGCACCACAGACAGAGUCACAGGGACUGUGACACAUACUACCUGGGUAAAUAAAUGUGACAACAAUGCUUUCAGUUACUCCUUCUAGAACAGCAGUGCCACGUAAGGUCAUAUUUAUUUUCAUAGCCUAUGUUUUUUGACCUGUUGAUUGUAAGACCUUCUUGUUUUGCAGUUCUGACUAAGCUGUUUGUCUUUUAUUGUAUCUCAUCUGCUGAUGAAUAGAUAUUCCCAGCAAACUGAGGCUGCCAAACACCCCUGGGACUCCAGUCUCUGUGCCAGGUCUCUAAUCCAGUCCUGCAAACAGUUGUGCUGUCACAGCUGAAUGGGCUGAAGACCAGCAGACAGCACACAGGAGAUGAGAGUGGGAGGCAGAGAAGACCUACAUGGCUCCCGUAUUCAUCACCCAGAGCUUCUCAGCUCCGCUUGGGCUUCAGCAAGGAGCUGACAGUAUCUUGGAGGAUUUGUGAAGCUGCAGAAGACUGGAAAAGAGCGCUGCCUCUGGUUGUGUUUUUUCCUGCUCCUGUUUACUGGUGUUUUCCAGCAUUUCCCAAGGAUGUGGAUGAUGUUGCCAGCCCCAGUGCCAGGGAGGUCUUCAUUGCAGCUGUUUUCCUAGGAAAUGUGGUGGCUCGAUGGUGCAGCUCCUGCCUGGCACUGAUGCCAGGUCCACAUGUCAGCCGUAGCCUUUUCCAAUGAGCCUUUCCCAAAUAAAGGG